CCUACGGGGGGCUGCAGUGGGGAAUAUUGGACAAUGGGGGGAACCCUGAUCCAGCCAUGCCGCGUGUGUGAAGAAGGCCCUCGGGUUGUAAAGCACUUUCAGUGAGGAAGAACGCCUGGUGGUUAAUACCCAUCAGGAAAGACAUCACUCACAGAAGAAGCACCGGCUAACUCCGUGCCAGCAGCCGCGGUAAUACGGAGGGUGCGAGCGUUAAUCGGAAUUACUGGGCGUAAAGCGCGCGUAGGUGGCUUGAUAAGCCGGUUGUGAAAGCCCCGGGCUCAACCUGGGAACGGCAUCCGGAACUGGCAAGCUAGAGUGCAGGAGAGGAAGGUAGAAUUCCCGGUGUAGCGGUGAAAUGCGUAGAGAUCGGGAGGAAUACCAGUGGCGAAGGCGGCCUUCUGGACUGACACUGACACUGAGGUGCGAAAGCGUGGGUAGCGAACAGGAUUAGAUACCCGAGUAGUC
rnacentral:rRNA from 1 species